UCCCUGGUAGUAUAUCGGUUAGUACACGCGCCUGUCAUAACAUGCAUAACAGUCCUGUCCGGUGCGCGCGAAAGCUGGGUUCGACUCCCAGCCAGGGAG